rnacentral:rRNA from 1 species
AGGGCACCACCAGGAGUGGAGCCUGCGGCUUAAUUUGACUCAACACGGGGAAACUUACCCGGCCUGGACACUGGAAGGAUUGACAGAUUGAGAGCUCUUUCUUGAUUCAGUGGGUGGUGGUGCAUGGCCGUUCUUAGUUGGUGGAGCGAUUUGUCUGGUUAAUUCCGAUAACGAACGAGACUCUAGCCUAUUAAAUAGGCUCUCGGCUUUUAAACGCCGGGAGGACUUCUUAGAGGGACAGGUGGCGGUUCAGCCGCACGAAAGAGAGCAAUAACAGGUCUGUGAUGCCCUUUGUUGUCCGGGGCCGCACGCGCGUUACACUGAAGAGAUCAGCGUGCUUUACGUUCCUGCUCCGACCGGAGUGGGGAACCCAGUGAACCUUCUUCGUGAUUGGGAUAGAAGAUUGUAAUUAUUCUUCUUGAACGAGGAAUUCCCAGUAAAUGCGAGUCAUAAGCUCGCGUUGAUUACGUCCCUGCCCUUUGUACACACCGCCCGUCGCUACUACCGAUUGAACGAUUU